GGCCCGCACAAGCAGCGGAGCGUGUGGUUUAAUUCGAUGUUACACGAAGAACCUUACCAGGGUUUGACAUGCAAGUGGUAGGAAGCCGAAAGGUGACCGACCCUUCGGGGAGCUUGCACAGGUGCUGCAUGGCUGUCGUCAGCUCGUGUCGUGAGAUGUUCGGUUAAGUCCGCUAACGAGCGCAACCCUCGCUGUGUGUUAUAUGUGUCACACGGGACUGCCGGUCUUAAGCCGGAGGAAGGUGGGGAUGAUGUCAAGUCAGCAUGGCCUUUAUAUCCUGGGCUACACACACGCUACAAUGGCCAACACAAUAGGUUGCUAAGCCGCGAGGUGGCGCCAAUCCUCAAAGUUGGUCUCAGUUCAGAUUGCGGGCUGCAACCCGCCUGCAUGAAGAUGGAGUUGCUAGUAACCGCAGGUCAGCUAUACUGCGGUGAAUACGUUCCCGGGGCUU
rnacentral:rRNA from 1 species